GGGGUUGUGGGUUAGUGGUAGAACACUUGCCUUACAUGUAUGAGGCACUGGGUUAAAUUCUCAGCACUACA
rnacentral:tRNA from 1 species